rnacentral:rRNA from 1 species
CCAAUAGCGUAUAUUAAAGUUGUUGCAGUUAAAAAGCUCGUAGUUGAAUUUCGGGAUCAAUAUGUCGGUCGUGCCUUCGGUACGUACUGGUAUCAUUGGUCUCUCCUUUCUGACGAACCAUGAUGUCAUUAAUUUGGUGUUAUGGGGAGUUAGGACUGUUACUUUGAAAAAAUUAGAGUGUUUAAAGCAGGCUUUAGCUUGAAUACAUUAGCAUGGAAUAAUGAAAUAGGACGUUCGAACCUAUUUUGUUGGUUUCUAGGAUCAACGUAAUGAUUAAUAGGGAUAGUUGGGGGCAUUAGUAUUCAACUGUCAGAGGUGAAAUUCUUGGAUUUAUUGAAGACUAACUACUGCGAAAGCAUUUGCCAAGGAUGUUUUCAUUAAUCAAGAACGAAAGUUAGGGGAUCGAAGACGAUCAGAUACCGUCGUAGUCUUAACCAUAAACUAUGCCGACUAGGGAUCGGAUGAUGUUAAUUUUUUAAUGACUCAUUCGGCGCCUUACG